rnacentral:rRNA from 1 species
AUUGAACGCUGGCGGCAUGAUUUACACAUGCAAGUCGAACGGUAACAGGCCGCAAGGUGCUGACGAGUGGCGAACGGGUGAGUAAUGCAUCGGAACGUGCCCAGUCGUGGGGGAUAACUACUCGAAAGAGUAGCUAAUACCGCAUACGAUCUAUGGAUGAAAGCGGGGGACCGUAAGGCCUCGCGCGAUUGGAGCGGCCGAUGUCAGAUUAGGUAGUUGGUGGGGUAAAGGCUCACCAAGCCAACGAUCUGUAGCUGGUCUGAGAGGACGACCAGCCACACUGGGACUGAGACACGGCCCAGACUCCUACGGGAGGCAGCAGUGGGGAAUUUUGGACAAUGGGCGCAAGCCUGAUCCAGCAAUGCCGCGCGCAGGAAGAAGGCCUUCGGGUUGUAAACUGCUUUUGUACGGAACGAAACGGCUCUGGUUAAUACCCGGGGCUAAUGACGGUACCGUAAGAAUAAGCACCGGCUAACUACGU